GACACCGCUGUUNGGCGUGCUUUACACAUGCCAGUCGAUCGAGGUCGAUCCAGUAGCAAUACUGGGUGAAAACCUAGUGGCGAACGGGUGAGUAACACGUGAGCAACCUGCCCCGAAGACUGGGAUAACAGUGGGAAACCGCUGCUAAUACCGGAUACCCCCAUUGGACCACAUGGCCCGAUGAGGAAAUGGAUUCCGCUUCGGGAGGGGCUCGCGGCCUAUCAGCUUGUUGGUGGGGUAACGGCCUACCAAGGCGACGACGGGUAGCUGGUCUGAGAGGACGAUCAGCCACACUGGGACUGAUACACGGCCCAGACUCCUACGGGAGGCAGCAGUGGGGAAUAUUGCGCAAUGGGCGAAAGCCUGACGCAGCAACGCCGCGUGAGGGAUGACGGCCUUCGGGUUGUAAACCUCUUUCAAGCAGGGACGAUAAUGACGGUACCUGCAGAAGAAGCUCCGGCCAACUACGUG
rnacentral:rRNA from 1 species